AUUGAACGCUGGCGGCAGGCUUAACACAUGCAAGUCGAGCGGGGGGAGGUAGCUUGCUACCUAACCUAGCGGCGGACGGGUGAGUAAUGCUUAGGAAUCUGCCUAUUAGUGGGGGACAACAUUUCGAAAGGGAUGCUAAUACCGCAUACGCCCUGAGGGGGAAAGCAGGGGAUCUUCGGACCUUGCGCUAAUAGAUGAGCCUAAGUCGGAUUAGCUAGUUGGUGGGGUAAAGGCCUACCAAGGCGACGAUCUGUAGCGGGUCUGAGAGGAUGAUCCGCCACACUGGGACUGGGACACGGCCCAGACUCCUACGGGAGGCAGCAGUGGGGAAUAUUGGACAAUGGGGGGAACCCUGAUCCAGCCAUGCCGCGUGUGUGAAGAAGGCCUUUUGGUUGUAAAGCACUUUAAGCGAGGAGGAGGCUACCGAGAUUAAUACUCUUGGAUAGUGGACGUUACUCGCAGAAUAAGCACCGGCUAACUCUGUGCCAGCAGCCGCCGCGGUAA
rnacentral:rRNA from 1 species